rnacentral:rRNA from 1 species
GACCCGUCUUGAAACACGGACCAAGGAGUCUAACAUGUGUGCGAGCCAUUGGGCGGACUAAACCCAAGGGCGUAGUGAAAGCGAAGGGUACGUUGGUGCCUGAGGGGCGAUCCCUUUUUGGGCGCAGCCCCGGCGCUUUGCAUCAACCUCGUAUUGUGCAGAGCAGCAAGAGCAUACACGUUGGGACCCGAAAGAUGGUGAACUAUGCCUGAGCAGAACGAAGCCAGAGGAAACUCUGGUGGAAGUUCGUAGCGGUUCUGACGUGCAAAUCGAUCGUCAAACAUGCAUUAAGGGGCGAAAGACUAAUCGAACCAUCUAGUAGCUGGUUCCUUCCCGA